rnacentral:misc_RNA from 1 species
UCGCAAUCUCUCAUCAUCAUCCAAUAUUUUGUACAUGAAAUGUUAAUGUUACAUGAUUUCCACGUACAUAGGUCACCUAGAGGAGGAAUAAAUGAAAGACUUAUUUUUCGGUACAUCAUUCACACAUGACUAAGUCAGUGAGAAUUAACCAGAGAUGAGCACUAAACACAAACAAAGAACUAUAAUCUUAUUCAUUUGAAUAGUUACCUAAAUGCUUGCCUUCUUUCCCUUGAGAUUGAUCGCCGAAAGCUCCUGUUCGACGAACUCUCCUGCCAAGAUCGGAGGGUACUUGACGGCCUCCGGUGAUUCCGCAAAGCCGCCCAGG